rnacentral:lncRNA from 1 species
AGAGGAAAGGAAAGGAAAAGAAGAAAAGAAAAGGAGAGAUGAAAUACUGGCGGGAUCUAGGGGGCUCAAGCCGAUGUUGAACAGAAACUGCUCCUUCAGGAGGUUGGGGAGAGAAAGAGUUGGAUAUUUGAGGAGUUUCUGAGAGGCUUGAUGAUCGUCCCCCCCCAGGCUGGGUGCCCGACGAACGGAGUCCCUCGGGGAGCCCCAAGGGGGCAACUCUAGCCUUAAGGUCGAGCAUCGAACAUAAAGAAACUUCCCCUUCCAAUUAUGGAUAGAAGAGGGGGCACCUUUCAGCAACCCCUUUCUACCGAACUGUAGAGAGAAGUACCACCAGUCCUUCACCGUGGGAUGACGCUUGAAGGUGUAGAAGUAUCUAAACAAGGAAAGGAUGGGCUGGACUUCAACUAUAUGACAAAGAGAAAGGAACCCAAUCAAAAACCUAAAGGAAUUUGGUGCAACCGAAGCCAGAGAAAUGUCCAGAAAUCAGAAAAGAGCAAUGACAAAAGGCGGAAGAGGGAGCCGAAGUCCGGCACGGAAGGCCUCCUAGUACAGGCAGAAGCAGUCGGGGGGAGGGGCACUA